rnacentral:rRNA from 1 species
GUGAGUAAUACAUCGGAACGUGCCCGAGAGUGGGGGAUAACGAAGCGAAAGCUUUGCUAAUACCGCAUACGAUCUCAGGAUGAAAGCAGGGGACCGCAAGGCCUUGCGCUCACGGAGCGGCCGAUGGCAGAUUAGGUAGUUGGUGGGAUAAAAGCUUACCAAGCCGACGAUCUGUAGCUGGUCUGAGAGGACGACCAGCCACACUGGGACUGAGACACGGCCCAGACUCCUACGGGAGGCAGCAGUGGGGAAUUUUGGACAAUGGGCGCAAGCCUGAUCCAGCCAUGCCGCGUGCAGGAUGAAGGCCUUCGGGUUGUAAACUGCUUUUGUACGGAACGAAAAGACUCUGGUUAAUACCUGGGGUCCAUGACGGUACCGUAAGAAUAAGCACCGGCUAACUACGUGCCAGCAGCCGCGGUAAUACGUAGGGUGCGAGCGUUAAUCGGAAUUACUGGGCGUAAAGCGUGCGCAGGCGGUUAUAUAAGACAGAUGUGAAAUCCCCGGGCUCAACCUGGGAACUGCAUUUGUGACUGUAUAGCUAGAGUACGGCAGAGGGGGAUGGAAUUCCGCGUGUAGCAGUGAAAUGCGUAGAUAUGCGGAGGAACACCGAUGGCGAAGGCAAUCCCCUGGGCCUGUAC